rnacentral:rRNA from 1 species
GACGUAGGGCGCGAGCGUUGUCCGGAUUUAUUGGGCGUAAAGAGCUCGUAGGCGGUCUGUCGCGUCGGGAGUGAAAACUCAGGGCUUAACCCUGAGCCUGCUCCCGAUACGGGCAGACUAGAGGUAUGCAGGGGAGAACGGAAUUCCUGGUGUAGCGGUGAAAUGCGCAGAUAUCAGGAGGAACACCGGUGGCGAAGGCGGUUCUCUGGGCAUUACCUGACGCUGAGGAGCGAAAGUGUGGGGAGCGAACAGG